rnacentral:rRNA from 2 species
UGGGGAAUAUUGGACAAUGGGGGGAACCCUGAUCCAGCCAUGCCGCGUGUGUGAAGAAGGCCUUUUGGUUGUAAAGCACUUUAAGCGAGGAGGAGGCUACCGAGAUUAAUACUCUUGGAUAGUGGACGUUACUCGCAGAAUAAGCACCGGCUAACUCUGUGCCAGCAGCCGCGGUAAUACAGAGGGUGCAAGCGUUAAUCGGAUUUACUGGGCGUAAAGCGCGCGUAGGUGGCCAAUUAAGUCAAAUGUGAAAUCCCCGAGCUUAACUUGGGAAUUGCAUUCGAUACUGGUUGGCUAGAGUAUGGGAGAGGAUGGUAGAAUUCCAGGUGUAGCGGUGAAAUGCGUAGAGAUCUGGAGGAAUACCGAUGGCGAAGGCAGCCAUCUGGCCUAAUACUGACACUGAGGUGCGAAAGCAUGGGGAGCAAACA